rnacentral:rRNA from 1 species
GCACAAGCAGCGGAGCGUGUGGUUUAAUUCGAUGCUACACGAAGAACCUUACCAGGGUUUGACAUACAAGUAGUAGGAAAGGAAACUGGACCGACCUUCGGGGAGCUUGUACAGGUGCUGCAUGGCUGUCGUCAGCUCGUGUCGUGAGAUGUUGGGUUAAGUCCCGCAACGAGCGCAACCCUUGUCAUUAGUUGCUACAUUCAGUUGGGCACUCUAAUGAGACUGCCGGUGACAAGCCGGAGGAAGGUGGGGAUGACGUCAAGUCCUCAUGGCCCUUAUAGGUGGGGCUACACACGUCAUACAAUGGCUGGUACAAAGGGUUGCCAACCCGCGAGGGGGAGCCAAUCCCAUAAAGCCAGUCGUAGUCCGGAUCGUAGUCUGCAACUCGACUACGUGAAGUCGGAAUCGCUAGUAAUCGUGGAUCAGAAUGUCACGGUGAAUACGUUCCCGGGUCUU